rnacentral:lncRNA from 1 species
CGUCGAGUAAAAGUUAAUGCUUUCCCCUCACCCCAUGUGAAUCCUAAAAAUAAUACACAGCACAUUCCUACUUCUCUCCGUAACAAUCAGCCAGCGACCCAGACUGUGUGGGAAAGCCUGGGUUUGUUUUUCCUGGGCAAUAUAAAUAGAACCUUUCCUCUAAUAAGGACAUUGAAUUAAUAGGGGUGGGGGGCGGGAAGCAGGAGGAGGAGGAGGAGGAGGAGGAAGUGACUGAGUAUGAUGACAGUACUGGAACAGGCUUCUUCGGAAUUGAGCUCUGAUUUGGCUCUUGACUUUCGGGCAAGGCCUGAUGAUGACUCUGGGAGACCUCAGGUACUCAAGGGCCCAUCACUGGCGGGGGGGCAUCACAGGCUCAGGUGCUCAGUGGGAAAUACAACUGGGGGGCAGACACUCAAGGGCCCAUCACGGGGGUGGAGGGUGCAUCACCGUCCUGCACUUCGCGUCCACUGUACACGGUGCACUGUACAGAUUUGAAAACUCAACGCACACCGUUCCCCGCGGUGAGCCACGUGCCUGAUUGGCACCGCUCGCUCCGCCGCUCCCUCCCUCCCUCCCUCCCUCCCAGCCAGGCCACCCAGCCGUCGGGUGGGGGGGAGGAAGAGAGGGAGAGCGCGCAGGCAGCCCCCACCACCCCGCUCGGGCUCGGUCGGUCGGGUGAUGCUGCUGUUGGCGCCUGCGCCGCUAGGCUUUAGCGGCGGCGGCGGCGGCGCCUGCGCGCUGCCCUCCGGCUCGUCCUGUAUGUAUCCCCCCCCUUCCCCCCGCCCCGCGCGCCCUCCUUUGUUUCGAGCGGCCUGUUUCCCAGGCAGCCCCGGCGGGGGAGGCGUGGCUAUGCAGAUGAGCCGCGGGGGCGGGGUCCUGAGGCGGCCGCCGCCGCUCGCGCUGCCGCUGCUGCUGCUGCCGCCGCCGCUGCCGCUAUCGCCCGCCGCUGCCGAGCCAGUCCGUGUGUCAAGCCCGUCAGUGGAGCUCGGCGCUCGCGAAGGGAGGAGCUGCUGUGAGGGCCGAGAGCGCGCGCGCCUCCUCCCGACCUCCCCCCCGUCCGUCGUCCUGCCGAGCCCCGAGGAUGAUAAACACCCAGGACAGUAG